rnacentral:rRNA from 1 species
UUUAUCGGAGAGUUUGAUCCUGGCUCAGGACGAACGCUGGCGGCGUGCCUAAUACAUGCAAGUCGAGCGGACAGAUGGGAGCUUGCUCCCUGAUGUUAGCGGCGGACGGGUGAGUAACACGUGGGUAACCUGCCUGUAAAACUGGGAUAACUCCGGGAAACCGGGGCUAAUACCGGAUGGUUGUUUGAACCGCAUGGUUCAAACAUAAAAGGUGGCUUCGGCUACCACUUACAAAUGGACCCGCGGCGCAUUAGCUAGUUGGUGAGGUAACGGCUCACCAAGGCAACGAUGCGUAGCCGACCUGAGAGGGUGAUCGGCCACACUGGGACUGAAACACGGCCCAAACUCCUACGGGAGGCAGCAGUAGGGAAUCUUCCGCAAUGGACGAAAGUCUGACGGAGCAACGCCGCGUGAGUGAUGAAGGUUUUCGGAUCGUAAAGCUCUGUUGUUAGGGAAAAACAAGUGCCGUUCAAAUAGGGCGGCACCUUGACGGUACCUAACCAGAAAGCCACGGCUAACUACGUGCCAGCAGCCGCGGUAAUACGUAGGUGGCAAGCGUUGUCCGGAAUUAUUGGGCGUAAAGGGCUCGCAGGCGGUUUCUUAAGUCUGAUGUGAAAGCCCCCGGCUCAACCGGGGAGGGUCAUUGGAAACUGGGGAACUUGAGUGCAGAAGAGGAGAGUGGAAUUCCACGUGUAGCGGUGAAAUGCGUAGAGAUGUGGAGGACACCAGUGGCGAAGGCGACUCUCUGGUCUGUAACUGACGCUGAGGAGCGAAAGCGUGGGAGCGAACAGGAAUAAGAUACCCUGCUAGUCCACGCCGUAAACGAUGAGUGCCUAGGUGUUAGGGGGUUUACGCCCCUUAGUGCUGCAGCUAACGCAGUAAGCAUCCGCCUGGGGAGUACGGUCGCAAGACUGAAAUUCAAAGGAAUUGACGGGGGCCCGCACAAGCGGUGGAGCAUGUGGUUUAAUUCGAAGCAACGCGAAGAACCUUACCAGGUCUUGACAUCGUCUGACAAUCGUAGAGAUAGGACGUCCCCUUCGGGGGCAGAGUGACAGGUGGUGCAUGGUUGUCGUCAGCUCGUGUCGUGAGAUGUUGGGUUAAGUCCCGCAACGAGCGCAACCCUUGAUCUUAGUUGCCAGCAUUCAGUUGGGCACUCUAAGGUGACUGCCGGUGACAAACCGGAGGAAGGUGGGGAUGACGUCAAAUCAUCAUGCCCGUUAUGACGUGGGUUACACACGUGCUACAAUGGACAGAACAAAGGGCAGCGAAACCGCGAGGUUAAGCCAAUCCCACAAAUCUGUUCUCAGUUCGGAUCGCAGUCUGCAACUCGACUGCGUGAAGCUGGAAUCGCUAGUAAUCGCGGAUCAGCAUGCCGCGGUGAAUACGUUCCCGGGCCUUGUACACACCGCCCGUCACACCACGAGAGUUUGUAACACCCGAAGUCGGUGAGGUAACCUUUUAGGAGCCAGCCGCCGAAGGUGGGACAGCUGAUUGGGGGGAAGUCGUAACAAGGUAGCCGUAUCGGAAGGUGCGGCUGGAUCACCUCCUUUCUAA